UCGGGAUGUAGGUCAGCGGUAGAAUAUUUGCCUUGUGUAAACAAGGCCCUGGGUUUGAUCCCCAGCACCGGAA
rnacentral:tRNA from 1 species